rnacentral:rRNA from 1 species
UACGUAGAGUGCAAGCGUUAAUCGGAAUUACUGGGCGUAAAGCGUGCGCAGGCGGUUAUGUAAGACAGAUGUGAAAUGCCCGGGCUUAACCUGGGAACUGCAUUUGUGACUGCAUGGCUAGAGUUUGGCAGAGGGGGGUAGAAUUCCACGUGUAGCAGUGAAAUGCGUAGAUAUGUGGAGGAACACCGAUGGCGAAGGCAGCCCCCUGGGUCAAGACUGACGCUCAUGCACGAAAGCGUGGGGAGCAAACAGG